UAAAGGUAAUGUAAGGGAGAUAACUCUAAGCAGUAAAUUGCUCUUUAAUUGAACAGAUGUUUGCUUGUGAGAAAUGGCUGCGAUUGACAAAGUCCGGAUUCUUGUGACGGGAGACUCAGGCGUUGGUAAAACAUCACUUGUACAGCUUCUCUGCCAUGGUGAAGCAACAAAUAACCCAGCCUACACAAUUGGUUGUUCUGUAGAGGUUGCUUUACAUGAAUACAAAGCAGGAACUGCUGAUGAACGCACAUACUUUGUUGAAUUGUGGGACAUUGGUGGCGCUACACAGCACAAGAAUAGCAGAUACAUUUUUUACAACCCUAUUCAUGGAAUUAUUCUUGUUCACGACUUGACAAAUCGGAAAUCUCACCAGAACUUAAGGAAAUGGUUGACAGAAGUUUUAAACAAAGGAACCAGUAAAGGAAACAGCAGAGAAUACAAUGAAUGUGAUUUUGAUCCUGAACAAUUUGCUGGUAACCAGAUACCAAUAAUGGUAGUAGGAACCAAAGUUGAUCUAGCACAAAGUCUGCGAGACAAUUUUCUCUCCAAACGCUCAACAGUUGCUGAGGAAUGCGGUGCAGGUGAAAUAAACUUAGAUUGUAAACAAAAGAAAUUCCUGGCUCCUGGAUCUACCAAUGCAGUAAAGGUGGCCAAAUUUUUUGAUAAGGUUAUUGAGCGCAGGUUUUACAACCGAGAACUGGGAGGCCAGGCAGCCAUGUAUUCAGGCUUCGUUAGAAGAACUUAGUCUCAGGUGAGACGUUACUACUUUCUAUGAUUACCUAAAGUAGCUUGUCUCAGGUGGACCAUCACUUUUUUUUAUGAUUAUUUAAUCUACUUUGUUUCAGUUUACUUCAUUUUCUGGUGGACAGAACAACCGAAGAUAUACUAAGAACUCUCACUGUGAUUGAACACUUAACACCAAAUAUCUCAUUGAACACAACACACUAAAACUUCCUAACACAAAAUACUAAAAAACUAAACACCACUCACUAAACACCAAGCACUAAAUACAACAGACACUAAAAAAUAUACCCCACACACUAAUUAUUCAUUAUCAUCAUCAUCAUUUACCUUUGGUAGGCAAGCCUUUAGCAUUUCACUCUAACAAUAGGUAUUUCUUACCUGACAGUAUAUCUGGUGACCUGCUGCCUGUCAAAGCUCUGUAUACGAGAAACAUUUGAUCCUUCUGAAGAAUUUGUCCUGGAACACCUAAAUUCUACAUUCCAUAUUGGUAGUAAGUGCCCUGCUUUCACACCGACACAGAAAUAUUUUAUGGCACUAAGGACUUGUACAGUUCGAGUUUUGUUGAAAAACUGAUGGAGAUCAAACCAACUCUUGCUUUUAUCUCCUUUAUUAAGUUGUGGUUUGCUCAAAGUGAAUCCAGGGUAUUUAAAAAUAGCCACUUUUUCAAGCUGAUGUCCUUCAGCAUGAUAUUGGUUUUCCAUUCCAUAUGCACCUGAAUGUCUGCCCUGUGUAGUGGUAAGUUCCUGGAUUUCUACUUAACUGCCUUGCAUUAAGCUGGUAUCAUCAGCAAAACAUGGGUUGUGAAGGAACCAUCUUCCAAGGAAAGUGGCGUUUACAAAAUCAUGUAGUGUACACUGCAUGAUGUUUUCCAAGGAAGAUGUUGAAAAGCAUUAGAAAGAGGAGAUAGCAUUAAUGCACCCCAAGUAUUGUCCUGAAGAAGUUUGUGGUUUUGUCAUUCUAGUAAACUGUAUGGAUUGAUUUCCAUACAGUGCUUGAAUCACUUGACUGAGGUUGAUUUUGGAGUAGACGUCUCUAAUCACUUGUCACAAAUACAUAGGCCAAACAUGAUCAAAGAUUUUGAGGUUAAUGAAAUGCCAUACACUAAACACUAAAUACUAAGCACCAAACCCUAAGCAUAUCACCUUAAACACCACGCUAAACAAUCAUCCUCAAGUACUACGUACUAAACAUUGAACACUAGAUACAACACACUCAGCACCAAAAUCCUCACUAAACACCUAACAUAAACUUCAAACACCAAGCAGCACACAUUAAACACCACUUGCUAAACACUAUAGAAUAAACACCACUCAUUAAACAUCACAUCAUACAUGCCACACACUAAAUCUGAUUUACUACGUGUGAAACACUGAACACUAAGCAUCACACACUACACACCACACACUAAACACUUAAUUGGAAGCAGUAAACACAAAACAUCACGACACUAAACACCUGAAACCUCUCUAAACAUUAGGCCUUCAAGGAAAAUGUUUUCCUUUCAGUACUUUCUAUGAAGACACUGUAUUUUGUGUUAAGGCAGUUCUAAUGAUUGUCUUCCUUCGGAAAGAACUCUGCUGAUCUUCAUAAUUUCAGAAAAAGAGAGAAACAGGAAGAGAAGGAAACAGAGUUAGAAACAAUUCUUUUUAAAACAAUUUUCUUUCACAUUUUUUAAGUUUGGAAAGAAGAGCUGUGCCUAUAAAUAUUGCAGGUACUUCCAAGCGAGUGACCAAUGUGUAUAUAAAUAUUGCCAUAAUAGCAUGAGUGGAUGGAUGGUUUGUACAGUCAUAAAGUGGUUGAAUUGAAUCUUUUGUCAGCUCAAUAAACUAAAGAAGCAGA